rnacentral:rRNA from 1 species
CCUACGGGAGGCAGCAGUGGGGAAUAUUGGACAAUGGGCGAAAGCCUGAUCCAGCCAUGCCGCGUGUGUGAAGAAGGCCUUCGGGUUGUAAAGCACUUUCAGUGGGGAAGAAAGCCUUGGGGCUAAUACCCUCGAGGAAGGACAUCACCCACAGAAGAAGCACCGGCUAACUCCGUGCCAGCAGCCGCGGUAAUACGGAGGGUGCGAGCGUUAAUCGGAAUUACUGGGCGUAAAGCGCGCGUAGGCGGUCUGAUAAGCCGGUUGUGAAAGCCCCGGGCUCAACCUGGGAACGGCAUCCGGAACUGUCGGGCUAGAGUGCAGGAGAGGAAGGUAGAAUUCCCGGUGUAGCGGUGAAAUGCGUAGAGAUCGGGAGGAAUACCAGUGGCGAAGGCGGCCUUCUGGACUGACACUGACGCUGAGGUGCGAAAGCGUGGGUAGCAAACAGGAUUAGAUACCCCUGUAGUC